UACGUAGGGGGCAAGCGUUUGUCCGGAAUCAUUGGGCGUAAAGAGCGUGUAGGCGGCCCGAUAAGUCCGCUGUGAAAGUCCAGGGCUCAACCCUGGAAUGCCGGUGGAUACUGUCGGGCUCGAGUCCGGAAGAGGAGUGUGGAAUUCCUGGUGUAGCGGUGAAAUGCGCAGAUAUCAGGAGGAACACCGGUGGCGAAGGCGGGUCUCUGGGCCGUAACUGACGCUGAGGAGCGAAAGCGUGGGGAGCGAACAGG
rnacentral:rRNA from 1 species